AGGUGAUGAAGCGGCAGGCUGGUUCAGCAUCAGUCGUUUGUGGAGCCAGGCUAUGGGUUGUGCGAAUACCACAAGCCGAAUAGAUUCAGCGAGUCGAAAGAAAACACAAAGU
rnacentral:ncRNA from 1 species